GACAUGUAAUAUCACAACCGACUGGACACAGAACAGAAGGGAAUCAGCAGUCUCCUAUGAAGUCAGAUCGUGACGAGAUUUGCCAAAAGAAUUGUAAGCUGUGUGAGGAUUUGUUCUCUGCUCCAUCCCCAGCCACCAGUACAUGGGAGUUGAGUUGCUGUAUCCUUAAAGUCCUCCCUAGCAGUGCCUUUCUAUAGUGGCAUGAGUUUCGUGUGUGAGAUCAGCGGGACCAGGCUGGUAAAGGUGGAGAGGCAGCCGGCGAGAGAAACCGAAUGGAGGACUACUGAACGGAAG